GAGAGGAGAGGUCAGCAGUGAGUGGAUUUGAUUUCGAUAUUUUUCCGAUACUUUCCGUUAUCAUUGUGCAGCCUUUACUUCUAGACCACCAGCAUUUACAGCUAGAGUAGAAGACUACAUUUCCUCCUGAAACUUCCUCAUCCUACAGUGUUGUCAGGUCAUGCAUAUGGUUGUACUUAGAAUUUUCAGGUGCAGCCAUUUCUAUUGGCACCUUAAGGGAGCUCACUCAGUGUCUGGGCGGCUCAGCAGUGAAUAUGUUUUAUGUCUAAGACUGUACUUCGUCAAAUAAAGUACAUACUAGGUGGUCUUACUAGAAAUGAACUUUUCAUUGUGGCAUUUUUAAUACCGCUCACACUUGCAGCAGCUUACCUUAUUGUAAUGAGUAGCUUCUCAGCGGAAGAAAUAGAAGGUCGGACAACUUGCGUCUAGCUUCGUCAGCAUUUUAACUUCUAAUGCAAAUGAUUUCUAUUAUUUGAGACAGUGGAUAUAAUAUUAUGGCCUACUCUACACAAACUGAAGUUAUGAGAAGUAGCAGCACUGUGAAGAUGGCCUACUUUACUGGUUACAGGAUGAACAGAUUGAGUGUGUUUGAGCUUUGUAUGCUGAGAGAUAUGCAUAUGUAGACAUCCAAAGAUAGCUGAUUUAUCUAUAAAGAUGCCACACUAUUACUGUAUUCCAGGAUGUUAAAGCAGUUAUGUUCCAGUGGCGAUAAAAGCUACAUCAAGGUGUUCUGGUUCCCAGCAAAUAUGGACACACAACAUUGACUGGCUGAAACCAGUUCCAAAAAGAGACUUGGUUACCUUCCAAGAUAUACAUGGUCUGUGCUAAGUACUGUGGAGAACAGGAGAUAAUAAACUUCAAUAUGUUUAAAGAUAUGCUGAAAAAAAGGCUGAAAUACUGAAAGAGCUGGACUCAAAUGAACAGGUGGCUUAAUGCCAAGAUUUUUUGCAGGUUUGCCUCAUUAUUUAAGGACUAGGAAAGAUACAAAUGAAGGAAGACUGAAGUGACAGAAAGACCUUCAUCAGAUAAAUGAAAAGUGCCUUACAGAAAAAGUGAUUAAAAUAUUUACAGAUCUAAGUGAAAAUGUAGGUAGGAUUAUGCAAAGUGACAUUUGAUGCCAUUACUGUAACUAGCAAUUCAGUAUGUUUCCAUAGGUUAUCAGUGGAAGGAAUUCCAAAAAUUCAAUUUAGUGCAAAAACUGAUAAGUGUAUGUGUGUCAAAGUAUGUGUCAACAAUAGUAUUGCAAGUGCCCACAAUAUGCAAAGAAUACUUGAAAGUAACAAGGUGAGCACAGCUAGAGAACAUUCUGCAGAAGUAUGUUACAGUGGAAAUGUACAGUGAGAGUUGUGGUCAUGAUUGUGUCACAAAACUAAAAGUAAGAUACUCUGUCAAUAUGUU